rnacentral:rRNA from 1 species
ACGGAGGGUGCGAGCGUUGUUCGGAAUCAUUGGGCGUAAAGGGCGUGUAGGUGGUCUGCUAAGUCAUGUGUGAAAGCCCCCGGCUCAACCGGGGAAGUGCGCAUGAAACUGACAGGCUAGAGUACCGAAGAGGAAGGUGGAAUUCCAGGUGUAGCGGUGAAAUGCGUAGAUAUCUGGAGGAACAUCUGUGGCGAAGGCGACACCCUGGACCAGCACUGACACUGAGGCACGAAAGCGUGGGGAGCAAACAGGA